GCGCCACCUUGACACUGUUUCGAUGGUUUGGGCCGCAUGAGUGCAGCCCUGCUGGCCCUCCUUCAGGGCCUCAGCUUUUCUGAGCGUCGGUCGCCGAGCUGCCCCUCGGAAGCGGCUGCUGGUUUUGGCCGAGGCGGCUUUGGGCAGAAGGAAGUGGACGGGUGAUUCAUUUCAUAAAUGUUGGUUCCUCCAGAGAACUGAACAGAACCUGCGACCCUGCAGGUGCUUUUCAACAAGUGGAUGACUUCCAGGCCGCUCUAGCCAAUGAAGAUGGAGCAGGGACCCUGAGAUAGAAGGCUUCAUUUGGCAUGACUCAGCCUUGGAGACAUCCAUCCCCUUGGCCUGUGUUGUUGAGUGCCUGGUUCUGUAAAUAUUGGCAGUUAGAAACCAGCCUGAGAGCUACCAAGCAAUGAUCUGGAAGCCAUCUUCAUAUACACAGCUGCCUUCAACCUGUGUCCACGUAGGUCAAUUCCCAGUUCAUGAUGUCCUUUUAGCGAAUGGAAUGGUCCAGGUACUUGUGACAAAAUAUUGCACGAUGAAGUCUUUCCAUUGGAAUAAUUGACUGUAUUUCAUUUUGGUCCUUAAAAUAUAUAAACUUUGCCCAUCAAAUUUUGAGUUGGAGAAAAUUCGUUGAGGAGGCUAUUGUCAUCUGAAGACUCAUUGUCUGGAGUUUCCCUCAUACUAUCAAAUUCGUCAUUGUCCUUGGAGCCCAAGUCUGGCCGCCUCUGCCUUCAUCUUCUGAUUCAUUGAAGGAUUGUGAAACAUCUUCCUUUAUUUUUUCCUCUUUGCCAUGAUAAAUGGAGAGCAAAGGAAUUCACUGUCUUCUACUAUGUUUGAUGCAGGCUACAAAGAUGGUGUGUCCAGUCUUCUCUUAUUCCUUCUUAAAGAUGAUGCCAUACUUUUGGCAAUGCAAUGGGAAAGCCUUGAAUGAUGCAGUUGUGUUGAUUUAUCUCAUUAUUGCAUUAUCCUCUGAAUCCAGGUCAUUCCACAAUUCUUCUUCUUCUUUCAUAUUGGUCAGAAAAACUCAUGAGUAAUGAUGAAGUAGCAAAUGUUAUUCAAUGACAUGGGAAAAAUAAGCACCCUAAGUCACUUAGAUGUACAACAGGGUCCAAUGGAUGCUAUGGUAAUAUAGAAUUAAUCUUAUUUCUUUAAGAAAAAUAAGUAAUUUUUUUUCCUUUGGAAAACUUAUAAUAAAGAAUAAAAAUUAAGUGAUAACCAAUCCUUUCAAAAAAUAGAACUGCUCAAAAAAGAAACUCAAAAAUUAAAACUCGGGAGUUCUGUGGUGCAAUGGGUUAAGGAUCUGGCAUUUUCACUGCAGUGAUUUAGGUCACUGCUGUGGCUCGGGUUCAUUCUUUGGCCCAGGAACUUCCACAUGCUGUGGGCACAGCCAAAAAAAAAAAAAAAAAAAAAAAAAA
rnacentral:lncRNA from 1 species